ACGUACACUCCUGCGGGAGGCAGCAGUGGGGAAUAUUGCACAAUGGGCGCAAGCCUGAUGCAGCCAUGCCGCGUGUAUGAAGAAGGCCUUCGGGUUGUAAAGUACUUUCAGCGGGGAGGAAGGUGUUGAGGUUAAUAACCUCAGCAAUUGACGUUACCCGCAGAAGAAGCACCGGCUAACUCCGUGCCAGCAGCCGCGGUAAUACGGAGGGUGCAAGCGUUAAUCGGAAUUACUGGGCGUAAAGCGCACGCAGGCGGUCUGUCAAGUCGGAUGUGAAAUCCCCGGGCUCAACCUGGGAACUGCAUUCGAAACUGGCAGGCUAGAGUCUUGUAGAGGGGGGUAGAAUUCCAGGUGUAGCGGUGAAAUGCGUAGAGAUCUGGAGGAAUACCGGUGGCGAAGGCGGCCCCCUGGACAAAGACUGACGCUCAGGUGCGAAAGCGUGGGGAGCAAACAGGAUUAGAAACCCCUGUAGUCCCAUGA
rnacentral:rRNA from 1 species